GAUGAAGAACGUAGUGAAAUGCGAUAAGUAGUGUGAAUUGCAGAAUUCCGUGAAUCAUCGAAUCUUUGAACGCACAUUGCGCCCGCCAGUAUUCUGGCGGGCAUGCCUGUUCGAGCGUCAUUACAACCCUCAGGCCCCCGGGCCUGGCGUUGGGGAUCGGCAGAAGCCCCCUGUGGGCACACGCCGUCCCUCAAAUACAGUGGCGGUCCCGCCGCAGCUUCCAUUGCGUAGUAGCUAACACCUCGCAACUGGAGAGCGGCGCGGCCAUGCCGUAAAACACCCAACUUCUGAAUGUUGACCUCGAAUCAGGUAGGAAUACCCGCUGAACUUAAGCAUAUCAAUAAGCGGAGGA
rnacentral:misc_RNA from 1 species